rnacentral:sRNA from 1 species
ACAACAACCAAGCCAAAACCUACGACUCCUUUCCCAAGCAAAACAACAACCAAGCCCAAACCUACGACUCCUUUCCCAAUCAAAACAACAACCAAGCCCAAACCUACAACUCGUUUCCCAA